rnacentral:lncRNA from 1 species
UUACAGUGAGAAGUGAAAUGACAUGUUCAUGGUCACAAAGCCAGUAUGUUAGGAACUAGACUGGAACCCAGACCCAGAACUUCCUGACUCCAGUGUUAGCUUUUUAUUCAUUAAACUAUAUUAUAAAAUCAAACAACUUCAGAAUUACUUUAAGUACGGUUUCUGCUCAGUUCUCAUUAAGGGGAAAAUGAUGUUGUCUGGGCUGGAUAUCCCCCUCUUCCAAGAAAGAAAAAAACAAAAACAAAAACGAACAAGACAUAAAUCAAACCUAGUUUUCAUUGGUAAAAUAGAACAUUGGUCAUUUACAAAUAAACUUCCCUCUUAUUUCCCUCGGCAAAGGUCUUACCUUUUCUAGUGAUGCCUGCUUUUCACCUGCUCUCAGGCUGAUUUUUGACCCAAUGUUGGUUCUGAGCUGUCAUUUCUCUCCUUCCUCUUUUUGACUUGAUGGUGUGGUUAUUAUUCUUGACCAUGCCCUCUUUCCAGGUUUUCUUCAUACUUUGCAUGCUUUCCGUAUAUUAGAGGAAGUUCACAGCAGUCGCAUCAAGGUGAGAUAAGUAUAAGAACAACUGGAAAAUUAGGAGGGUAGUUCUACCCAAUUACUUUGACUGUUUCUCCGUUAAUUGAGUUUUUUUUUUUUUAAUGUAGAUGGUACCCUUAGCUUCUUAUUCCAGUUAUACACAUAAAUUUCCUGAUUGACAAAAGCCAUUUUAUUCUCCUUAAAGCUUUACAAAAUGCUGUGAUAUGGUAGUUUCCUUUCUGAAUGAAUUAUUCUUGCUAAUGAAGAGGUCAACUCAAUUAUUUUUAUCUCCUGGAGGAGUGUCAGUCUGUCAGCACUCUCUAAAAUUUGAUCAUCUAGUGCAAAAGGAGAAAGCAAUUGACCCAAGAAAACUUUUGGGAAGAGGUUAGCUGCAGCUAACUGGCAAACCAGUCUGCUCAUGAGUGUAUGUCCUGUGGGCUUCAUCACUGUCCUUAUCCCAUGAGAAGAGACUAGGGAGAGAAAAGUACCAAUGACGAUGUGCCUGCGU